UACGUAGGAGGCGAGCGUUGUCCGGAAUCACUGGGCGUAAAGGGUGCGUAGGCGGGUCUUUAAGUCAGGGGUGAAAUCCUGGAGCUCAACUCCAGAACUGCCUUUGAUACUGAAGAUCUUGAGUUCGGGAGAGGUGAGUGGAACUGCGAGUGUAGAGGUGAAAUUCGUAGAUAUUCGCAAGAACACCAGUGGCGAAGGCGGCUCACUGGCCCGAUACUGACGCUGAGGCACGAAAGCGUGGGGAGCAAACAGG
rnacentral:rRNA from 1 species